CAACAAAGCCGGGGGGAGGGGGGGUCUGUACGGGGCUGACCGCCCCCUCCACUCGCCGGGGGCUCGCCUGCCCGCACCAUGCGAACGCGGCACCUACCAGGCGGGCAGCCUCGGCCCAGAUUGAUAGUUCAUUCAUCUUGUGCUUCAGCAUAGUCCAUUUCGCCGCUGAGCUAGUGGUGCUUUCAUGAUGCCCUUUGUCCAUGCUAUGCACAUACUGCAGGCUAGUUCGCCAUGAUAGAAUCAUGCAGGAGCCAAACUUGCAGGUGGAGUUUCUCCGGACUUGGGUGAAGAGCGUGACCGUUGUUCUGUGAAAGCAGGUCCGGUCAGCGAGGGAGAGUUCGAGCGUGCAUAUCACCAUUUGCAUCAGGUUUUUGUGAAGAGCAGUGAACACUACCCUAGAGCUCCAGGCAGAGGAUGGUUGAGAAGCACGCGCUAGAUGAGGCUCCAAUGGCACCAUGAGACACCUACUGUGCAGGCGUGACCCACACGGACACUGCUACCAUAAAUCUUCGAUUGAAAGCCCCAGGACGCACCGACACCUGAAGUGGAGCACCUAUAGGGACAUCACUCAAAGAAGAAUCAGGGGUAGUCACUAGGUGGUCCGCGGGCCAAAUCCGGACUGUCAGAUGUUUUUGAAUGGACUCUGAAAUCUUUUUAUUUACUUAUCAUUACUGUUAUUUUUUUCUGAAGUCUGGACCUUGACUAUACCUUGACCAAGAAAUUUGAACCUUGACCAAAAUAGACUACCCAUGGACAAAAUAAUUUAUAUAGAAAACAGUAACUAGCUAAGGAGAACACAAAUCAAUUCUGACUCUGCUGAAGGGCAGUUAGAAGAAACUGAGGGGGUUAUUAACUAAUAUUUUAAUAUAAUACAAUAUUUAUAUUCUAUUUAAUAUUUUAAUACACUAUAAAGGCCAAAACUAAAUGCAAUGAUAA